rnacentral:rRNA from 1 species
UACGUAGGGGGCUAGCGUUGUCCGGAAUCAUUGGGCGUAAAGCGCGCGUAGGCGGCCAGAUAAGUCCGGUGUGAAAGUCACAGGCUCAACCUGUGAAUGCCGCUGGAAACUGUCUGGCUAGAGUCCGGAAGGGGCGAGUGGAAUUCCUGGUGUAGCGGUGAAAUGCGCAGAUAUCAGGAGGAACACCCGUAGCGAAGGCGGCACUCUGGGCCGGUACUGACGCUGAGGAGCGAAAGCGUGGGGAGCAAACGGG